UGCGAUGACGGCGAUGGAUUUCCGCCGGGCCUGCUGUGCCGCACAGGCCGAACCGCCUUUCGACGGGCUCUCUUGUCGAAAGGCUGAUGAUUCCUGCCUUCGC
rnacentral:ncRNA from 2 species